UCUUCAUCACCCUUACAGAGAUCCCCUACCAAGUGUCCCCAGCCGUUACCCCGGACACAGAAUCUGGGGAAGGAUCAGCCACCCCAUCUGCGACUGUCUCACAACCUAGCCUGGCAUCACACUCCCAGAGGCUAGCGCAGAUUAGGCGUAGGAAGAAGAGGACACGGGAGGACAUGUUCUCGGAGCUUAUGGCCUGUUCCCAAGCCCAGGCAGCACAGCAGACCCAGUGGCGGGAGAACUUGACCCAAAUGCACCAAGCAAACAUGGAUCCGGAGGAGAGGUGGCGGCAGGAAGACCAGCAGGCGACUCAAACGCUGCUUGGACUACUGAGCGAGCAAACAGACACGCUCCGGCGCCUUGUGGAUGUUCUGCAGGAACGGAGGCAGGAGGACAGAGCCCCGCUGCAGUCCAUCUCUAACCGCCCUCCCCCGCCACCAAGUCCCAUACCCACCUCACCCAAAGUGCAAAGAAGGAGAGGCGGCAGAGUCCGUGCUAACUCUCACUCCACCCCUGCAGAGAGCUCUAGUAACAAGGCUCUCAUUCCCCAAAAUUUGAAAAGUUCUUUCCUUCCCGCCUGACACAAGCCCCCGUCCAAGUUUCACCUCCCAGUUCCAUGUGUAGUUGAUAAUAAAAAAUACGUUUCUGUUAA